rnacentral:rRNA from 1 species
UACAGAGGGGGCAAGCGUUAUUCGGAAUUAUUGGGCGUAAAGGGCGCGUAGGCGGCCUGGCAAGUGGAAGGUGAAAUCCCUCGGCUUAACCGAGGAACUGCCCUCCAAACUGCUUGGCUUGAGUCCGGGAGAGGUGAGUGGAAUUCCCAGUGUAGCGGUGAAAUGCGUAGAUAUUGGGAGGAACACCAGCGGCGAAGGCGGCUCACUGGACCGGAACUGACGCUGAGGCGCGAAAGCGUGGGGAGCAAACGGG